UAAAAGUCGCGCGCGCUGCACCAGCGGGUUACAUUCUCGCUCUGAUAGUAGAAACUCACAAGACUCUCCACCGAUACACUUGAAAGGAAGAAACUUGCGAGCACAGGACUGGAAAGCCUGCACAAGUUAAAGAGCCGCCAUGGCUUCUCUUGCCAUCCCUAUAGCUCUGCUCGCCCUGUCUCAGCUUGGCAACGCUGCCAAUGACUAUUCUAAGCUUGUUACAGCACGCUGCGACAACGCCCCGAAUGUGGACUGGACAGAUAGCAUCAAUGCCUUACUUCACCGGAUACCGGAGACUAUUACAAUACCAAGCCACACAGAGAAGACAUGGAUUGCAGGAUUUAAAACCUCUUCAGUCGAAGUGACCGGCCUUGGAAGUCUGUGGGCCUACAAGCCACCCCAUAGCUUCUGCUUCGGCAACCGUACCAUGAUUGAAGCUGUGGUGUUUGCCGACGACCUUCUGGUGAUGAACACGGAGUGGAAAAGCUGCACCGGAGGCAGCGGAAAAUUAGGAAC
rnacentral:lncRNA from 1 species